ACCAUUCAGCAUCUCUGUAAUGCUUAGUUUCAGUUCUCAAACUAGUUUCUUCUCUCCAGAGAUAACAUCCUUGUUAACAGCAGUAUAUGGAGAUGAGAGACAACAGGCCUGAUUACCCACCCAGAACCCUACUGUCCUUCUGUAAGUUUGCGUACACACAGUCAAACCUUUACCUUUAUCUAAAAGUGCAAACUUUCAAUAAGUUAAAUGAAUAAAAGAUAUCAAACAAGAAUGCACUUUUUGUA